AGUGAACGCUGGCGGUAGGCCUAACACAUGCCAGUCGAACGGCAGCACAGUAAGAGCUUGCUCUUACGGGUGGCGAGUGGCGGACGGGUGAGGAAUACAUCGGAAUCUACUUUUUCGUGGGGGAUAACGUAGGGAAACUUACGCUAAUACCGCAUACGACCUACGGGUGAAAGCAGGGGAUCUUCGGACCUUGCGCGAUUGAAUGAGCCGAUGUCGGAUUAGCUAGUUGGCGGGGGAAAGGCCCACCAAGGCGACGAUCCGUAGCUGGUCUGAGAGGAUGAUCAGCCGCACUGGAACUGAGACACGGUCCAGACUCCUACGGGAGGCAGCAGUGGGGAAUAUUGGACAAUGGGCGCAAGCCUGAUCCAGCCAUACCGCGUGGGUGAAGAAGGCCUUCGGGUUGUAAAGCCCUUUUGUUGGGAAAGAAAAGCAGCAGGUUAAUACCCCGCUGUUCUGACGGUACCCAAAGAAUAAGCACCGGCUAACUUCGUG
rnacentral:rRNA from 1 species